ACUCACGCCUACGUACUCAGUCACCAGCGGAACCCUCUCCACCAGGCUCCGCGUCGAGGCCCUACGGGGCGUCAAUACGCACGCGUACUUUGUGUCCCAGGUAGCUCGUCUCUUAGCCAUGUACGCCUCUGCAUUCCGGUCACUGGGAGCGGGGCCGUGGGGGCUGCACAUGCGCACUGCGAGUCCUCGCCUACUCCCAGAAACCACCCGGGCGCAUACGCGGUGCGGCCGCUGCUUCAGGUCGGCGGGCUCCAGGGAGACCUGGGUGGGCAGCGUCGCCGUUUCUCCUUUCUUGGGCAGUAUUUUUCCCAGCGCCACGCGGAGGCUGGGCCAUUAUGAGCUCUGCAUUUCCAGGACCUGGUCACUAUUCAGGACACGGUUCCAGCGCAGUGCGCGUUAGCCAUGUCUCAGGGAUGAGUGACAUUCCAAGAUGUGGCCAUUGACUUCUCCAAGGAAGAGUGGGGAUUCCUGAACCCUGCUCAGAGAGAUUUGUACACAACUGUGAUGCUGGAGAAUUAUCAGAACCUGGUCUGGCUGGGACUUUCCAUUUCUAAAUCUGUGAUUUCACUGUUGGAGAAAAGGAAACUGCCUUGGAUAAUGGCAAAAGAAGAGAUAAGAGGCCCAUUGCCAGGAUAUUUCAAGGUGUCAGAGAUGACCAUCUCCCAGGAGCCAAAGGCAAAGACUAGAACUCUCUUUGGAAAAGGUUAAAUUAUUUACUACACAAUGGCUAAGAUUUAUUUUAGCAAAAGAUAUAAAACAAAAUCAGCAAAGAUGUGCCAGGUGCAGAGAUUAAGGAGUUAUCUGCAAAGAGGGCUAUUAAUGAAGUAUUAUCGCAGUUUGACACAGUGAUAAAAUGUACAAGAAACGUAUGUAAGGAAUGUGGAAAUCUAUACUGCCACAAUAUGCAGCUUACUCUCCAUAAGAGAAAUCAUACACAAAAGAAAUGCAAUCAGUGUUUAGAUUGUGGGAAAUACUUCACUCGUCAAUCAACUCUCAUUCAGCAUCAAAGAAUCCACACGGGAGAGAGACCCUAUAAAUGUAACGAAUGUAUUAAAACCUUCAACCAGAGGGCACACCUUACCUAGCAUGAGAGAAUUCACACUGGUGAGAAACCUUACAAAUGUAAGGAAUGCAGGAAAACCUUCAGCCAGAUGACUCAUCUCACACAGCAUCAGACUACACAUACGAGAGAAAAGUUCCAUGAAUGCAGUGAAUGUGGAAAGGCCUUCAGCCGUGUCUCAGCUCUUAUAGAUCACCAGCGAAUUCAUAGUGGAGAAAAGCCGUAUGAAUGUAAGGAGUGUGGAAGAGCCUUCACUCAAAGUGCCCAGCUCAUUAGACAUCAGAAAACUCAUUCUGGAGAAAAACCCUAUGAGUGUAGUAAGUGUAAGAAAUCUUUUGUGCACCUGUCUUCCCUGAUUGAACAUUGGAGAAUUCACACUGGAGAAAAACCAUAUCAAUGUAAGGACUGCAAAAAGACCUUUUGUCGUGUGAUGCAGUUCACUCUGCACAGGAGAAUUCAUACUGGUGAAAAACCCUAUGAAUGCAAGGAAUGUGGAAAGUCCUUCAGCGCCCAUUCUUCUCUUGUUACUCAUAAGAGAACACACAGUGGAGAAAAACCGUAUAAAUGCAAGGAAUGUGGAAAAGCCUUCAGUGCGCACUCUUCCCUUGUUACUCAUAAGAGAACACACAGUGGAGAGAAACCCUAUACAUGCCAUGCCUGUGGGAAGGCCUUUAAUACUUCCUCCACACUUUGUCAACAUAAUAGAAUUCAUACUGGUGAAAAACCCUUUCAGUGCAGUCAAUGCGGGAAGUCCUUUAGCUGCAGCUCUCACCUUACUCGACACUGUAGAAUGUGUAAUGGAAAAUUUAGCAAAUAACCAAAACUCAAAAUGUUAAUUCUGAUUAUUCUGUAUCAUCACCAGUACUUUGUACUUUGAGUCUUUUUAAAUAUGCUCUGUUAGUUUGUAUGGAAUGAUAUUUCAUUGCACUUUUAAUUUAACUUAAAAAUGCCUUCCCUUGACUGUUGAUAUGUAUUUUUUGUGAAGUGUGUGUUGAAGCCUUGCAGAUUAUUUUUUAAAUUAGAGGUUUAUCACUAGGUAUAUCUCCUAAUGCUAUCCCUCCCCCCUCCCCCUAAUGUAAAUGACGAGUUAAUGGUGCAGCACACCAACAUGGCACAUGUAUACAUAUGUAACAAACCUGCACGUUGUGCACAUGGUACCCUAAAACUUAAAGUAUAAUUAAAAAAAAAAAUUAGAGGUUUUUCUUCGGGUGCAUUUAUGAGAGUUCACCAGAUUUUGGAAAUAUUUUCUAUUCUGUAACCUACCUUUUCAUUUACAUAACAGUGAUAAAAGCUUUAAGUUUGAUCACAUCCAAUUAAUCACAUUUUUUAAUAGUUAUGCUUUUAUUUGUUUUUCAGACAGGGUCUUACUCUGUCACCCAGGCUGGAGUGCAGUGGCACAAUCAUGGCUCACUGCAGUCUCUGCCUCCCAGGCUCAAGUGAUCCUCCCACCUCAGCCUCUCAAGUAGCUGGGACUACAGGCAUGUGCCACCACACCUAAUUUCUAUAUUUUUUGUAGAGACUAGGUUUCACCAUGUUGUCCAGGCUUGUCUUGACCUCCUGAGCUCAAGCAGUCCAUCUGCCUCAGCCUCCCAAAGUGCUGGGACUACAGACAUGAGCCAUUGUGCCUGACCUAGUUCUGCUUUUUAUGUUCUAAGAAGUAUUAUUUAUUCUAUGCUGAGCUUACAUAGAAUUUCUUCCAUGUUUUCUAUAGCUAUAGUGUAUUUUUACCUUUUACUGUUAGAUCUAUUUCAUGUUUUUAUUAUGGAUAAUGGAGGAGGUAAAGGUUGAAUUAUAUUUUCCCCCAUAUUAUUGACCCAUAGUGACACCAGUUUUGGGAGAUGUCUUUCAUUUUCGCCCUUACGUUGUUAUUGGCACCUUUUGCAAAAAUCAAUUAUUUAUCAUGAGUAUACUUCUGAAAUGAUCUGUUUCAUCAAUCUAUUUGUCUUCUCAGUAGUUCCACAUUGUCUUAAUUAUAGCUUUAGAGGAAGUCUUGAAAUUUGGUAGUAAGUCUUCCAGUUUUGUUAUUUUAACAAAUUUCUCUAGGCUGGGCAUGGUGGCUCAUGCCUAUAAUCCCAGCACUUUAGGAGCCCCAGACAGGAGGAUCACUUAAGCGCAGAAGAUCAAGACCAGCCUGGGAAAUAUAGCAAGACCUUAUCUCUACAAAAAAAUUUAGAAAUUAGCUGGGCAUGGUGGCACCCAUCUGUAGUCCUAACUGCUCAGGAGGCUGAGGUGGGAGGAUUGCUUGAGUCCAGGAGUUCAAGGCUGCAGUGAGUUGUGAUCACACCAUUGCAGUCCAGCCAGGUUGACAGAAUGAGACCCUGUCUCUUAAAAAAAAAAAAAAAAAUCCUGGUGAUGCUUUUCUGGAUUAAAAAAUAAAAUAAAAUAAAAAUUGGCCUCACUACUCUAGCUUAUUUGCAUUUUCUAAUAAAUGUUCAGAGUCACCUUGUCAGUUCCUACCAAAAAGCCUGUCGGUAUUAUAAUUGAGAUUGCAUGAAGUCUGUAGACAAACUUGAAGAGAAUUGACACUUAACAGCAGUGACUUCCAGUCUGUAACCUUAGCAUAAGUUCUAUUUGUCUCCUUUAAUUUUUCUCAGAAAUACCUGUAGUUUUCUGUAUAGAGAUCUUGAAUGUAUUUUCUUAAGUUUAUUAAUAGACAUUUUCACAAUAUGUAA
rnacentral:lncRNA from 1 species